UACGGAGGAUGCAAGCGUUAUCCGGAAUGAUUGGGCGUAAAGCGUCCGCAGGUGGCUGUGUAAGUCUGCUGUUAAAGAGUCAUGCUCAACAUGAUAAGAGCAGUGGAAACUACACGGCUAGAGUGCGUUCGGGGCAGAGGGAAUUCCUGGUGUAGCGGUGAAAUGCGUAGAGAUCAGGAAGAACACCGGUGGCGAAAGCGCUCUGCUAGGCCGCAACUGACACUGAGGGACGAAAGCUAGGGGAGCGAAAGGG
rnacentral:rRNA from 1 species